rnacentral:rRNA from 1 species
UACGGAGGGUGCAAGCGUUAUCCGGAUUCACUGGGUUUUAAGGGUGCGUAGGUGGGCAGGUAAGUCAGUGGUGAAAUCUCCGGGCUUAACUCGGAAACUGCCAUUGAUACUAUCUGUCUUGAAUACCGUGGAGGUUAGCGGAAUAUGUCAUGUAGCGGUGAAAUGCUUAGAUAUGACAUAGAACACCAAUUGCGAAGGCAGCUGGCUACACGAAUAUUGACACUGAUGCACGAAAGCGUGGGGAUCAAACAGG